CUUUUCCCAGUUCCAGUAUCAUAGGAUGAUGAAAUCUAAGCAAACCUUUAAAAGUGGGGCGGGGAGAGAGAGAGAGGAGUGGGAAGGUUUUAUUAUUUGUUUUGGCUGGAAGGAAAUUACUUGAAGUGGAAGAACAGGACAGAGACAGUAGGAGCCUGUUCAAGAAUGGGGUUGGUACUAAACUGGGGGCUUUUGGAUCCUUUAGUUGAGAUUCAAACCAGGUUGCUGGGGGAUAAUGAAGGAAGACCAGCCCUUCUACCUGCAACGGGGAGGCAAACUGCUUAUACACCUGCAGAAAAUUAUUUGAGAACAAAGAGGAAUUCAACAUCUUUCCUUCCAGAUGAGUUAAUAUGAUGCAGCUGUGAGGUGUGUGUAUUUUCUGUACCCUGAUUAUAGAAAACGACUAACAUUGUAGGUUUUCUAGCCUCCUACACAUUGAGCAAAUACAAAGGUGCUAGAUAGAACUAUGAGAAAAACGCAAAGGCAUCCAGUUUCUCCAAUGUGAAACCCAGGUUUGGGCUAUCCCCC
rnacentral:lncRNA from 1 species